rnacentral:lncRNA from 1 species
AGUGUCUUCUCAGAAACAACCAGCUGAGAAGUGUCUUCUCAGAAACAACCAGCUGAGAAGGCUACAAGUGACGAGAAAGAUUCUGUUUCAAAUAUAGCCACAGAAAUAAAGAAGGGACAACAAUCUGGGACAGUGUCUCCUCAGAAACAAUCGGCCUGGAAGGUUAUAUUUAAAAAGAAAGUUUCUCUUUUGAAUAUUGCCACAAGAAUAAUGGGUGGUGGGAAAUCUGGAACAGGUAAUUUGGCAAUACACAUUUAAUGUCAUGUGCACUCAAGACAGAAGAG